ACAAAGAUGUGGUUUGCCGAGCACCCGCCGGCAGGGCAGGUUGUUCAGGAGGGACACCUGGCUGUCACGGCGCUUCACGCUUGGUGCCUGCCACCCCGCGAACUGCCCGCACUAUGGCCGCCCCGCCGCAGCUGCGGACUCUGCUCCUUGCGGUCAACGCACUCUUGCGCAAGCGCCGCUACCACGCUGCGUUGGCCAUGAUUAAGGGCUUCCGGAACGGAGCAGUCUACGGAGUCAAAAUCCGGGCCCCUCAUGCCCUGGUCAUGACCUUUCUCUUCCGGAGUGGCAGAUCAACAUGUACCUGUUAUCUCGCCUCCUGUUUGCCCUGUGCCGCCUGGGUUUGGACAAGGGCUACCUCCCCGAGCCCAGAUGGGACCCGUACCCGCUGUUCUCGGGUUUGGUGUGGGGGCUGGUGCUGUGGCUCUUUGAGUACCACCGGCCCACCCUGCAGCCCUCGCUGCAGUCCUCCAUGACCUACCUGUACGAGGACAGCAACACGUGGCACGACCUCUCAGACUUCCUCCUCUACAACAAGAAGAAAUAACUCGGCCCAAAGUGCUUUUGGGGACUCUGGCGCUUGCCAGCCAUGGCUGCAGAUUGGCUCCAUCAGCGAAUCCCCCAGAAGAUCCUGCCUGUUCAAGAUCUGAGGUCUCAGACUCUAGCUUUUCUCAGCCUGGGGUCCCGCUGGCCAAAGUGAAAACACUGAUCUUCAAGUCCCAGUAGGUACUCUUGAAUGGUAGAAUAAGCCACCGAAUCAGGCCGCCGAGCCUUGGCCACGGGGACAGCCAUGCUGCUGACCCUGUGAGACCCGGGCCCCAGGGGUCAUCGAGCUCAGAGGAGGGCGCUGAAGUCUGUUUCUGGUGGGUAUGUUCUUCGGCCGUUCUUCUGUAACCGAGGGCUCUGGCUGGUGGGUGGUUGGUUGCAAAUGUGUUUUUAGAAAAUCCUCAGUUCCUUGUCUUAGAUGUUCUGUUGGAGAAGCUCUAGAGUUUCCACUGUCCAGUAGAAACAUGAUGUGAGUCAUAUAUGUGAUUGACAUUUUUUUAGUAGCCACAUUUUUUUAAAAAGUAGAAAGAAUCAGGUGAGAUUAAGGUUAAUUAUAUCUUUUAAGCCAAUAUUUUUCAAACAUCAGCAUUUCAAUGUGUAAUAAAUCUAAAAAUCAAUGAGAUAGUUUACAUUCUUUUCUCUUGUACUAAGUCACCAAAGCAGGUGUGUGUUUUGCACCUCCAGCCUUUCUCCACUGCAACCAGCCAUGUUCUAGGUGCUCAGCAGCCCUGUGUGGCUAGUGGCUACUGUAUUGGACUAUGCAUAUAUAAAACCGUCUAUCCUCACAGAAAAUUCUAGUGGACAGUGCAGGUGUAGAGCUAGAGGGCAUAGGUUUGAGUCCCCAUUCCACCACUGUGUGGAAGUUCUUAACCUUGGGGAAGGUUCUUAACCUCUCAGAGCCUCAGUUUCUAGUAAAGUGAGGAUAAUCAUUGAAAUAUCUAGUGUCCACAUUGGAUUUAUAUAACUACCAAGGCUGCUGCUUCUACUCACGACUUUUGUGUUGAGAGCUCCUACUUCCUCCUGGGUGCUGUGCACGUAUUAUUUUUAAUUCACACAGUGAUGACCUCUCAGGUACGCAUUUGGAUCCCCAUUUCACAGAUGUGGAAACUGAGGAUCAGAGAGGAGUGACUUGCCCAAGGUAAUACAACUAGUAUAACAGCCAAGUCAGGGUUUGAGGCCAGACUUAGGUGAUUUCAAAGUUCCUGCUUCUUCAUGCCUUACUUACUUUAUUUAUUUAUUUUUAUUUUUUAUUUUUUGUCUUUUUAGGCCCACACCCGCGGCAUAUGGAGAUUCCCAGGCUAGGGGUUGAAUUGGAGCUGUAGCUGCCUGCCUACACCAUGGCUCACGGCAAUGCCAGAUCCUUAACCCACUGAGUGAGGCCAGGGAUCGAACCCAUGUCCUCGUGGAUAUUAGUUGGGCUCAUUAACCACUGAGCCACAGUGGGAACUCCCACUCAGUGCCUUACUUUAAAUUUAGACACCUAAGCUAUGCUAUGCAAAUGUUGGCUAGUUAUAGGGGUACAAAUGCAAAUGCCUCUAAGGACCUGGUGGGUGGCAUAAACAAUAAUGUUUCUGGUGCCAGGCAGGAGGGCGUGAUGGAAACAUAGUGAAGUGGAGACUUGUGUGCCAGACUGAUUUUUUUUUUUUUUUUUGCCGAACCUUGGCAUGUGAAAGUUCCCAGGCCAGGGAUCGAACCCAUGCCACAACAGUGACACGAGGCUGCUGCAAUGACAACAUUAGAUUUAACCCACUGCACCACCUGGGAAUUACAUAGACUGAUUUUAAAAUCUCCAAGCUGGACAAAUGAAACACACCCUAGGAGAGUUGGCCCAUGGGCCACCAAUUUGAGUAGGAACACGUCAAUCUCUUUUGAUAUUUUGGAAGUUACUAGUAGAAUAUUCACAUGAGUCACUGGAGAGCUGAUUAAAAUACAGGCUCUGACUCAGAGUGUUUGGCAUAGGGCCUGAGAUUCUGUAUUUCUCGUAGGCUCCCAGGUGACACUGCUGUUCUCUGAGCUACACCCUGAGUCACAAGGUGCUGGGGAAUGAUAUGGGGCCAGUAUCCCAUGUGACAAAUGAGGAAACUAAGUCACAGAGCUCUUAAGUAAUAGAAGUGGGAUUCAGUUGUGCUGUGUUCUCAGGCACAAUGUACUGCAAGCUUAGAGAAGGGGAUCUUUGAGGAGGGGGAGUGUACCAGGGAUCAGAUCCAAGCCACAUUUUCAACCUAUGCCAUAGCUGUAGCAACAGUGGAUCCUUUAAACCACUGUGCUGGCCUGGGGAUUGAACCUGGGUCUUGGCUCUGCCGGGAUGCUGCCGAUCCCAUUGCACCAUUGAGCUCCCAGAGCAGGGGGGAUCUUGAAGUUCCCCUUAGUUCACUCUGCGGAGGCUGAAUGAAAUCCUGAGGUGAUGGGUGGGGAGACAGUGGCCAUCCGCAAGUGGCUUUUAUAGCAGAUGCCCCACCCAUAUCCUGCCUAACUUACUGCUUCAGUGCACACCAGCCACCCAACUGCCACCCUGUGUCUUUCCGCCUGAGGGCUCCUCUCUUGCUCUUGGCACCUGCUUUGCCAGCCUGCAGCAGACCUGCCAUGCUGGAGGAGUAGCAUAUCCUGGGAGCAGCCCUUAACCAAGGACUGAUGAAUACCCGACUCCCGCACCCCUUACCCAGUGAUCACUGGUGGGAUAAUUCAUGGUGCCUGCCCCACCCGUGCUGGCUCCCAGAGCACCCCAGCAGGACUGAGCUCCAGUUGCCCACAGGGGCCAUUUGCUCGAUGACACCUCCCCGCCUCCCUUAUUCAUGUCCCUGCCAGUGCUUCCUGGGACUUGCCACAGAAACCACUUGCACUCAAAUUGUUGCCUCGGAGUCUGCCUGUGAGGUGGGGGUAGGCUGAACUUGGCCUCUGGUGCAGCGGACUGAGAGGCAGCUACAUACCUCAGUAGCAGGGGACAGAGCCUUUGGAGCCAGAGUGUCUGGGCUUCCUGGCCCUGCUCCCUCCUUGGGCAAGUGACCUAACUAUUCUGGGCUUCCAUUUUGUCAUCUGUAAAAUAGGCAUUGUAAUAGUGCCCACCUCAUAGGCUGGUUGGGAGGAUUAAGUGACAGGAUGCAUAUAAAGUAAGCACUCGAUAAAUGUUGGCUGCUGUUUCCAAAAUAUCAUCCAAACGGAAAAGAGAGCGUGGUCCUGAGGGCUGCGUACACCCUGCUUGUAGCCUGUCCUACCCCGUCCCCCGCCAGCCGAAGGUACAGCCUUGGCUGCCUGCCUGCCCCACGUCCCCCUCUGCCGCUGGGGGUUGGCGAGCUCCACCACCGACUGUCUCUGCUCUCUAAGAAUAGGUUCCCCUCACAGAUGGCAUCUCUCUGGAUCCUGCCAAAGCAUCUGGUGCCUCCAAAUGCUCCCUCCAGGGAUGAUGGCGGUGUGGUCCUCGUGCAGGGGCAGAGCUCUGGCUCCUGGGAGGAGUCCCCACUCUGUAAGAGCUGGAAAAUGGGCAUUGCCAGAGGGCCCUUGGCACACAGUCGGCACUUCAUAAAUGCUAGUUCCUGAACCAGCACAGUGUUUUAACGUGAAUUUAUUAAGCACCUGCUACUUUUUUUUUUUUUUUUUUUUUUUUUUGCUUUUUAGGGUCCCACCCAUAGCCUAUGAAAGUUCCCAGGCUAGGGGUCGAAUUAGAGCCACAGCUGUCAGCUUAUACCACAGCCACAGCAAUGCCAAAUCCUAGCCAUGUCUGCAACCUGCACCUACAGCUCAUGGCAACGCUGGAUCCCAGACCCACUGAGCGAGGCCAGCGGUUGAACCCACAUUCUUAUGGAUAGUCAUUGGAUUUGUUUCUGCUGUGCCACAACGGGAACUCCACCUACUACAUUUCCAUGAGGUCUGUGACAUGCAAAGCUGUAAACAAAAAUUUUAAAGUAGGAACUCCCUUCUGGCACACUAGGUUGAGUAUCUGGCAUUGUCACUGCUGUGGCUCAGGUCAGUCUCUGGCCCAGGGUCCUCUACAUGCUACAAACGUGGCCAAAAAAAUUUUGUUUUAAUUUUUAAAAGAUCAAUAAUGUAUACACAUAGUGUGGAACUUAAAUGGUACAAAAAGUAUAUAAGAGGGAAGAGUCAAGCUCCCCCUACACCCCACCUCCACCUACCCACCCCUCAUAAGGGGCACUUACUGUCGGUACCUUCUUUUUCUUUUUUGGCCAAACUGCAGCAUAUGGAGUUCCUGGGCCAGGGAUCAGAUCUAAGCUGCAGUUGCAGUGAUGCUGGAUCCUUAACCCACUGUGCUAGGCCAGGGAUCCAACUUAUCUCCCAGCAGUUCCAAGACACUGCCAGUCCCCUUGCACCACAGCAGGAACUCCUUAGCUCUGUUUUUUUUUUGUUUUUUGUUUUUUGUUUUUUUGCCUCUCCAUGUACUGGCUUGAUGUGGGAUCUCAGUUCCCAGAUUAGGAGGCUGAACCCAAGCCAUGGUAGUAAAAGCACUGAAUCCUAGCCACUAGACCACCAGGGAACUCCCAAGAAACUUUCAUAUGGCACUGUCAUCUUGAGAACUCUCUGACAUCCCCUGCACGUUGGGUUUCUCUUUGAUCAAGACUCACAUCAAAAGUGAGUCCUUUCUUUGGGCCAAUUCCCACCCUGCACAAUCCCCCCCGCCCCGAAAGUCCCCAGAUAUCUCGGGCAGAUCCUUACUGUGAUCAUCAUGAAGAAACACCCUAGAUGUCUUGAGCCUUGUCGGAGUAGACGCCCAACACUCAGGCCCACAGGACUCCAAGUGAAAGGGAAAGGACGAAACUGAAGUUAAUUUGGGGCCCUUCUGCUGCUCUGCUCCCAAAUUAGAGGUCGUUCAGGGAACCCAUGAGAGAGCAAUGAUUCACAGGCUGAGGUGCCAAGAAGCCACCGCCUUCUGUGAUGCUCCAAGCUUCCCUCCUUCCACGUUUCGGCUCCAGAAAGGAUCCUGGAGGUGGUGUUUCUGGCUGCAUUGUUUGCUUCUCCCACUCCCGUGAGUGUGUUUUGGGUUUAUAAGAAUCAGGCUUUAAAUCUGACACCCCGCCCCCCACCCCCCAAAGCCAGCACACUGGCCUGGGCUCCACCUCCUGGAGCCAACAGGUUGUGACUUCAGAUGGGUGGCUUUCUGUGACGAAUUAGAGGCUUUAUAAAAAGACGUGUUCUUUUCCCCCUCCCCUUGUUCCAGAUUCAUAGGGAUUGAACGGGUCUUCUUUCAGCUUUGAAAAGCAUUUCAGGCAAACUAUUGCAUUUGUAGUGGAAAAGAAAUGAGAUCCUGCUGUAUAGUACAGGGAACCAUAUCUAACCACUGGUGAUGGAAUGUGAUGGAGGAUAAUUUGAAUAAAAGAAUGUAUAUAUGUGUAUGACUGGGUCACUUUGCUGUACAGCAGAAAUUGACAGAACAUGCUAAAUCAACUUUAAGAACAAAUUUUUAAAAAAAGAGGAGUUCCUGUCACAGCGCAGCAGAGACGAAUCUGACUAGGAACCAUGAGGUUGCAGGUUCGAUCCCUGGCCUCGCUCAGUGGAUUAUGGAUCUGGCGUUGCCGUGAGUGUGGUAUAGGUUGAAGACAUGGCUUGGAUCUGGCUUUACUGUGCCUGUGGUGUAGGCUGGCAGCUAUAGCUCCGAUUGGACCUCUAGCCUGGGAACCUCCAUAUGCCACGGGUGUGGCCCUGAAAAGACAAAAAGACACCCCCCCCC
rnacentral:lncRNA from 1 species